UCCAUGUGGGGCAAGCGUUGUUCGGAAUUACUGGGCAUAAAGGGCGCGUAGGCGGCUUUGCAAGUGACGGGUGAAAUCCCUCGGCUUAACCGAGGAACUGCCUGUCAAACUGCAUGGCUUGAGACCGGGAGAGGUGAGUGGAAUUCCCAGUGUAGCGGUGAAAUGCGUAGAUAUUGGGAGGAACACCAGUGGCGAAGGCGGCUCACUGGACCGGUACUGACGCUGAUGCGCGAAAGCGUGGGGAGCAAACAGG
rnacentral:rRNA from 1 species